UACAGAGGGUGCAAGCGUUAAUCGGAAUUACUGGGCGUAAAGCGUGCGUAGACGGUUAUGUAAGUCGGGUGUGAAAGCCCCGGGCUCAACCUGGGAAUGCCAUUCGAGACUGCAUAGCUAGGGUGCGGAAGAGGGAAGCGGAAUUUCCGGUGUAGCGGUGAAAUGCGUAGAGAUCCGGAAGAACACCGGUGGCGAAGGCGGCCUGCUGGGCAGUAGCUGACACUGAGGCGCGACAGCGUGGGAGCAAACAGG
rnacentral:rRNA from 1 species